CGUCGGCGAGCGCCCCGACUGCGGGACGGGCUGCCGGCCGCCGGGGGCGGGCCUUCGUCCGCAGGGAGGGAGCUGCACGUGCUCCCUCGCCCUCCCGUGCGGCGUCGGGCCGGGUCGGGGGCGGCGCCCGUCGUGCAGGGCCCCGCGAGGUCGUGCAGUCGGCGUGGGGUCUGGGGAGCCGGCUGCGGCAGGGCACGGACGCGUGCGGGCGGCGGGCGGGGGCGCGCGGUCCCGACCCCUGCAGGUGCUGGGCCCGGUGCAGUCCGACCCCCUGCAGGUGCUGGGCCGGGUGCACGCGGUCCGACCCCCCUGCAGGUGCUGGGCCCGGUGCAGUCCGACCCCCCUGCAGGUGCUGGGCCGGGUGCACGCGGUCCGACCCCCUGCAGGUGCUGGGCCCGGUGGCAGUCCGGACCCCCCUGCAGGUGCUGGGCCGGGUGCACGCGGUCCGACCUUCUGCAGGUGCUGGGCCGGGUGCACGCGGUCCGACCCCCUGCGACACAUGGGCGGGGGCACGCAGUCCCGACCCCCUGUUGCAGGCGGGCAGGGAGCACGCGGUUCCGACCCCCCUGCAACAGGUGGGCCAGGGGCACUCAGCCCCAACCCCCCUGCAGGCGGUGGGCGGGGGGCACGCAGUCGGACCCACUUGCGACACGUGGGCAGGGGCACACAGUCCUGACCCCCCUGCAGGUGGUUGGCCGGGGGCACCAGUCCCAACUCCCUGCAGGUGCUGGGCCGGGUGCACGCGGUCCGACCCCCCUGCGGCACGUGGGCGGGGGCACGCAGUCCCGACCCCCUGUGACAGGUGGGCAGGAGGCACGCAGUCCGACCUCCCUGCAGGUGCUGGGCAGGGUGCAUGCGAUCCGACCCCCCUGCAGGUGCUGGGCAGGGUGCACGCGGUCCGACCCCCCUGCGACACGUGGGCGGGGGCACGCAGUCCCGACCCCCUGUGACAGACGGGCAGGGGGCACGCGAUUCCAACCCCCCUGCAACAGGUGGGCCAGGGGCACUCAGCCCCAACCCCCCUGCAGGCGGUGGGCGGGGGGGGGGGCACGCACGCAGUCGGACCCACUUGCGACACGUGGGCAGGGGCACGCAGUCCUGAUCCCCCUGCAGGUGGUUGGCCGGGGGCACCAGUCCCAACCCCCUGCAAGUGCUGGGCCGGGGGCACGCAGUCCCAACCCCCCUGCUACAGGUGGGCAGGGGGCACACAGUCCCGACCCCCUGUGA
rnacentral:lncRNA from 12 species